AGUGAACGCUGGCGGUAGGCCUAACACAUGCAAGUCGAACGGCAGCACAGUAAGAGCUUGCCCUUACGGGUGGCGAGUGGCGGACGGGUGAGGAAUACAUCGGAAUCUACUUUUUCGUGGGGGAUAACGUAGGGAAACUUACGCUAAUACCGCAUACGACCUACGGGUGGAAGCAGGGGAGCUUCGGACCUUGCGCGAUUGAAUGAGCCGAUGUCGGAUUAGCUAGUUGGCGGGGUAAAGGCCCACCAAGGCGACGAUCCGUAGCUGGUCUGAGAGGAUGAUCAGCCACACUGGAACUGAGACACGGUCCAGACUCCUACGGGAGGCAGCAGUAGGGAAUAUUGGGCAAUGGGCGCAAGCCUGAUCCAGCCAUACCGCGUGGGUGAAGAAGGCCUUCGGAUUGUAAAGCCCUUUUGUUAGGAAAGAAAAGCAGCGGGUUAAUCCGCCGCUGUUCUGACGGUACCCAAAGAAUAAGCACCGGCUAACUUCGUG
rnacentral:rRNA from 1 species